UACGGGGGGGGCAAGCGUUGUUCGGAAUCAUUGGGCGUAAAGGGCGCGUAGGUGGUUCUGUAUGUCUGCCGUGAAAGGGUACAGCUUAACUGUAGCUUGUCGGUAGAAACUGCAGGACUUGAGGCUGGGAGGGGCUGGUGGAAUUCCCUGUGUAGCGGUGAAAUGCGUAGAGAUGGGGGAGAACACUCGUGGCGAAGGCGGCCAGCUAGACCAGUUCUGACACUGAGGCGCGACAGCGUGGGGAGCAAACAGG
rnacentral:rRNA from 1 species